rnacentral:rRNA from 1 species
UACGGAGGGUGCAAACGUUGCUCGGAAUCAUUGGGCGUAAAGCGCACGUAGGCGGCUUGGUAAGUCGGGUGUGAAACCUCCAGGCUCAACCUGGUGACGCCACCCGAUACUGCCAUAGCUUGAGUUCGGUAGGGGAGCGGGGAAGUUCCUGGUGUAGCGGUGAAAUGCGCAGAUAUCAGGAGGAACACCGGUGGCGAAGGCGCCGCUCUGGGCCGAAACUGGCGCUGAGGAGCGAAAGCGUGGGGAGCAAACAGG